AUGCAGGCACGCACAGGCCGGCGACCGCAUGGGCGGUGCGGGCGGUGGCGCUCGUCAACAAACCACCUGCGCGCACGAGCCGCCGGCCGCUCACUGGCACACUGGCAUCCAUCCCGUGGCGCGUAUAAAAAACAAGCCGGUCAGCCCCUGCUGCAUGUUGCAAUAAAAAUUUGCGGCCAGGCCGGUGAUUCGAAGUUUCCUUUAACGCGAACCGGAUCCCCAGCCGGAUCCUGCACAUUUAGCGAGCGAGCGAGCGAGCAGGCCCCAAUUUUUCUUCUUCCGUUGGCGAUCGCGCCGCGGCUCCAGGGACGUGUCGCGAGGGCAGCCGGUCCGGCCCAGUCCCAGUCGCUCUCCCAACCACUCAGCCCGAGCGGUUGCGGUUCAAUGCACGUCGCCACCACCACGUCCGUCGCAUAA
rnacentral:rRNA from 1 species